rnacentral:rRNA from 1 species
GACGAACGCUGGCGGCGGGCUUAACACAUGCAAGUCGAACGGAAAGGCCCUGCUUGUGUGGGGUGCUCGAGGGGCGAACGGGUGAGUAACACGUGAGUAACCUGCCCUGGACUUUGGGAUAACUGCAGGAAACUGGGGCUAAUACCGGAUAGGAGCUCCUGCUGCAGGGUGGGGGUUGGAAAGUUUCGGCGGUUGGGGAUGGACGCGCGGCUUAUCAGCUUGUUGGUGGGGUAGUGGCUUACCAAGGCAUUGACGGGUAGCCGGCCUGAGAGGGUGACCGGCCACCAUGGGACUGAGAUACGGACCAGACUGCUACGGGAGGCAGCAGUGGGGAAUAUUGCACAAUGGGCGGACGCCUGAUGAAGCAACGCCGCGUGCGGGAUGACGGCCUUCGGGUUGUAAACCGCAUUCGCUUGUGACGAAGCGUGAGUGACGGUAAUGGGUAAAGAAGCACCGGCUAACUACGUG